rnacentral:rRNA from 1 species
UACGUAGGGUGCGAGCGUUGCCCGGAAUUAUUGGGCGUAAAGAGCUCGUAGGCGGUUUGUUGCGUCGGCUGUGAAAUCCCGAGGCUCAACCUCGGGUCUGCAGUCGAUACGAGCAAACUAGAGUGUUGCAGGGGAGACUGGAAUUCCUGGUGUAGCGGUGAAAUGCGCAGAUAUCAGGAGGAACACCUGCGGCGAAGGCGGGUUGCUGGGCCGACACUGACGCUGAGGCGCGAAAGCCAGGGGAGCGAACGGG